rnacentral:rRNA from 1 species
UACGGAGGGUGCAAGCGUUAUCCGGAUUCACUGGGUUUAAAGGGAGCGUAGGUGGCUUUGUAAGUCAGUGGUGAAAUCUUAGAGCUUAACUCUAAAACUGCCAUUGAUACUGCUUAGCUUGAAUCACGUCGAGGUGGAUGGAAUAUUACAUGUAGCGGUGAAAUGCUUAGAUAUGUAAUAGAACACCGAUUGCGAAGGCAGUUCACUAGGCGUGUAUUGACACUGAAGGCUCGGAAAGCGAUGGGGAUCAAACAGG